GACGAACGCUGGCGGCGUGCUUAACACAUGCAAGUCGAACGGCAGCAUGGAGAGCUUGCUCUCUGAUGGCGAGUGGCGAACGGGUGAGUAAUGCAUCGGAACGUACCGUGUAAUGGGGGAUAACGUAGCGAAGGUUACGCUAAUACCGCAUACGACCUGAGGGUGAAAGCAGGGGAUCGCAAGACCUUGCGUUAUACGAGCGGCCGAUGACAGAUUAGCUAGUUGGUGAGGUAAAGGCUCACCAAGGCGACGAUCUGUAGCGGGUCUGAGAGGAUGAUCCGCCACACUGGGACUGAGACACGGCCCAGACUCCUACGGGAGGCAGCAGUGGGGAAUUUUGGACAAUGGGGGCAACCCUGAUUCAGCCAUGCCGCGUGAGUGAAGAAGGCCUUCGGGUUGUAAAGCUCUUUCGGCCGGGAAGAAAUCGCACAGGCUAAUACUCUGUGUGGAUGACGGUACCGGCAUAAGAAGCACCGGCUAACUACGUGCCAGCCGCCGCCGUAA
rnacentral:rRNA from 1 species